GUGGAGAGAGCAUUGGCUUUGGAAUCAGGAAAGGCAAUGUUUGGAUCCUGCCACUGUAAAAUCAGAGAAUAUCCAGAUCUGCCAUGUCUCAGCUGAGGACAAAACUCAUUGCUGAACUCUCUGCAGCUGACUAAGGGGAAAAUAGU
rnacentral:lncRNA from 1 species